rnacentral:rRNA from 1 species
GGCUCAGGAUGAACGCUAGCGGCAGGCCUAACACAUGCAAGUCGAGGGGCAGCGAGGUAGCAAUACUGUCGGCGACCGGCGCACGGGUGAGUAACGCGUAUGCAACCUACCUUUAACUGGGACAUAGCCCGUCGAAAGGCGGAUUAAUUUCCCAUAAUGUUGUUGUUCGGCAUCGAAUGACAAUUAAAGCUCCGGCGGUUAAAGAUGGGCAUGCGUGUCAUUAGCUAGUUGGUGAGGUAACGGCUCACCAAGGCUACGAUGACUAGGGGGUCUGAGAGGAUGAUCCCCCACACUGGAACUGAGACACGGUCCAGACUCCUACGGGAGGCAGCAGUGAGGAAUAUUGGUCAAUGGGGGCAACCCUGAACCAGCCAUGCCGCGUGAAGGAUGACUGCCCUAUGGGUUGUAAACUUCUUUUUUUAGGGACGAAACUGCGAUACGUGUAUUGUACUGACGGUACCUAAUGAAUAAGCAACGGCUAACUCCGUGCCAGCAGCCGCGGUAAUACGGAGGUUGCAAGCGUUAUCCGGAUUUAUUGGGUUUAAAGGGUGCGUAGGCGGGAUUAUAAGUCAGUGGUGAAAACCUGCAGCUUAACUGUAGAACUGCCAUUGAUACUGUAAUUCUUGAGUAUAGUUGAGGUGGGCGGAAUGUGUAAUGUAGCGGUGAAAUGCUUAGAUAUUACACAGAACACCAAUUGCGUAGGCAGCUCACUAAACUAACACUGACGCUGAGGCACGAAAGCGUGGGGAGCAAACAGGAUUAGAUACCCUGGUAGUCCACGCCGUAAACGAUGAUUACUCGAUGUGUGCGAUAUACGGUACGCGUCUAAGCGAAAGCAUUAAGUAAUCACCUGGGGAGUACGUCGGCAACGAUGAAACUC